CACGUGUCAAAAAGAUUGAAAAUGUUUUUGACAGUCAAAAAAAUAUCUUUCUCGGGUAAUGGGAUUUUAUCAUUGUAGACAAGAGAGGUAUAAUAAGUAGUUCUUACAGAGGAAUGGCGGCGAAACCGGCAAGCCCUGGAACCAGAUAUGAGCAGAGUACAGUUUGGAAAUGUCUUGGUGGAACAGAUUCUAAGAAAAUAAUAUAGAAAAGAACAGACCACGUUUCUCCUUCUUAUAAUUGGUAAAGUUCAAAGUAAGAGCAAGUACAACAGUGCAGCCCCCGUGAGAGUUAGUGAUGAGGUAUCAACUGUAAAUGUGUGGUCGUUAAAUGAUGUGCAGUCAGAUUGACAAUAAACAUUAAUUUAUAAAUCAGUUCUGAGAGAAUUUUUUGCUGAGCUUUGUGCAGGAUACUCUUAAGAAUACAUGAACCAGAUUUUUAUAUUACAAGUACAAUGUUAGAUGUACUCAAGACUUCACAAAUAUGUUGAUGUUUAUACAUAUGUGGUGAUUAAUUUGUCAAGCGAAGAAAUUUUAGGAAUAAUGUUAGUGGGUGACAGAACGGAAGUAUAACGUCAAGUACAGAGGUCGACAACACUGAGUUUAGGAUACAGAAAAAAUCCGGUGAAUCUGACAAAACAACAUGCAUAGAAAGAUUAUACCAGUAAACUGAAAACGUUUAGUGUAUGCAAAAUUUUCGAAACAGUUUAUACUUCAGGUUUACCAUUGACAGAAGAGACAGUAUUUACAGACUGGUCUACACUUAUUUUGAUUUGACUUUUACACAGUGAUUCCUUCAGUAAACAGCUAGUGGUCUGAUAGAAUUUAUUAGUUACAAUACACAUUUUGGGAUUCCAGCAAUUUUCCACAUCCUCAUUACAAGGUAGUAUUGAUGUUUCAUUGGUCCAGUGAUUAAGUAAUUCUAGCAUAAAGUACAAUUGGUCUAUUAAUAGAUUUUCAGAAAAUAUGUUUGUGUAUUAUACAAUGUUUGUGUUUUACCUGGAAGUGGGAUACCCGUUAUACAAACUUCAAAGUUUAUACUUUAUAUCCAUGUACUUUUAUUUGAUCUGAAUAUUACUGUUUAAUCAUAUUCUGAACAAAUUACAGGUUUUCUUUGUAUUAGAGAACUUUGUUAAUUGUCACUGGUGAAAAGUCCAAGGUACUUUUCUCAAAUAGUCAAAUAAUAGAAAUUGUCAAGUAUAAUAUCUUGUGUAGUGAAUUAAAAAGAAAUAUAUUUACUCCAGACUAGUCAGUUCUGAUCUUUGUCAAUAUACUUUGAUAGGUAUUUCGUCUACUAUUAUAUUUUUGUGGCCUGAUUAGAAGUAACCUGUUGAUUAGUUCAGUUACUUAGUAUAGUAAGAAUUAUUUGAGGUAGCUCAAAAAAAACUUCUGGACAUUAAGGUGAUUUAUUAUCAUAUAAGAUAAUUUUCAUUUGGAGUUCUACAUAUCUAAUUACCAUAACUUUGUUCUGCAUAUAUGAGUUUCAAGUAAGAGCAACUCAGCCUGUUAAAAAGUUUAUCUGAAUUAUGUCCCCUUGUAAUUUACUUUCAGACCAGUUUAAAUUUUUUCGAAACUGUUUGACAUACGGCUUUGGAACUUUUAUCUCUUAUUAUGCCCCCUUCGAAGAAGGAGGGGUAUAUUGUUUUGCAGAUGUCGGUCGGUUGGUCUGUCUGUCGCUCGAUCGGAAUUUAGACCAAUCCGUUUCCGUAAGAUAACUCAGAAUGCUUAGGCCUAGGAUCAUGAAAGUUUACAUGAAGGUUUGUCAUCGGAUAAGAUUGCUUGGGCCUAGGAUCGUGAAAGUUGAAAGGCAGAUUGGUCAUCAUCAACAAAUGACCCCUAUCGAAUUUGAGAUCAGUGGCCAGGAACAGAUAAAGGGUUUCCAGAUGAUAACUUAAACGAAAGAUGAUUGAAAGGUCCAUCAAGAUUAGCACACAUGGCCCCUUUGAUUUUGAGGUCAGUAGGUCAAAGAUCAAGGUUAAAGUGACACGGAACAUUUAAACCGCGUCUACACAAUUACUUUAGAAUGCUUGGGCCUAGGAUCAUGAAACUUGAUAGGGAGGUUGGUCAUUGCCAGUAGAUGACCCCUUUAGAGAUUGAGGUCAGUAGGCCAAGGUCUCAUUACCCGGAACAGCUAAACCCUUUUCUGACGAUACCUUGAGAACCUUUAGGCCUAUGAUCAUGAAAUUUAAUAGGGAGGUUGAUUUUGAUCCCCUGAUGACCCUUGUUGAUUUUGAGGUCAGUAGGUCAAAGGUCAAGAUAACAUUGAAACAGAACAGUAGAACCAUUGUUUACAGUGAGCAAAUAAUUUAUGUUCCUUGUGCAAUUACUAAAUGCAUCAAGGCGGCAUUUUGUGUUCGCCGAGAUCUUGUUUACUAUAAUAUCAUUACCUGUAGACAUGAGGACAAAAAACUCUGUCAGGUAUUUUGGCUAAAUUAUGGCCCUUUUUGGACAUGCAAUUGGUUAAGGUUUCUUACCAGUGUACAAUUUGUCAGAACUGUUUGACAUUUUGGCUUUGAAACUGUUAUAACAUGUUCAUCAGCAUGAACUCAAAUCUGUAAUUUAGCGUAUGUAACUCUGUCAAAGAAUUUGGCCGAAUUUUUAGGCCUUUUCUGGACUAAGAAAUGGGUUACACUUUUCAUACUAGUCAUUCCAUAUUGUGUGAAAACUGUUUGACAUACAGCUUUAAAUUUCUAACACUAGUUUACCAUCAUAGUCUCCAUAAUUAUGUAUCCAAGACUACAUAACUAGGGCAAGAAUAUUUCUCAGUUUGACCCUUUUGACAUGAAAAUAAGUAAAAUUUCUGAUAUCAGUCCAUGUUUUGUCUAAACUGUUUGAUAUAUGGCUUUAAAAAUUGUACUCUUGUAUUUGUUAAGGUUUUUAUACCAUUUAAUUUUGUUUUAAAUGUUUCACAUAUGCCUUUGAAACAUUGUUAUCUGUCGACCAUCAUUAUUCUCGUUUGUGUUGACAAAAUAUUUCCAUCUGUUCUUCAAAUACUGAAGUGUGCUUUUAACAGACAGCGUUUGUGAUAUAUCAGGCGCACAUAAUUCCAGACAAACUGGUGUGCUCACACCCAAAAUCGAGUUAUUGCAAGAACUUGUGCUCAUAUACAUUGCCAUUAAAUUUGAUCAAAAUUGUUA
rnacentral:lncRNA from 1 species